rnacentral:rRNA from 1 species
CCUACGGGUGGCAGCAGUAGGGAAUAUUGCUCAAUGGGGGAAACCCUGAAGCAGCAACGCCGCGUGGAGGAUGAAGGCUUUAGGAUUGUAAACUCCUUUUUUGAGAGAAGAUAAUGAUGGUAUCUCUCGCAUAAUCACCGGCUAACUCCGUGCCAGCAGCCGCGGUAACACGGCGGGUGCAAGCGUUACUCGGAAUCACUGGGCGUAAAGAGUGCGCAGGCGGGCUUGUAAGUCAGAUGUGAAAUCGUGUAGCUUAACUAGAGAACUGCAUUUGAUACUGUGAGUCUAGAGUGUGGGAGAGGUAGGUGGAAUUCUUGGUGUAGGGGUAAAAUGCGUAGAUAUAAAGUAGAAUACUCAUUGCGAAGGCGACCUACUGGAACAUUACUGACGCUGAUGCACGAGAGCGUGGGGAGCGAACAGGAUUAGAUACCCGGGUAGUC